UGGCUCAGUGGUAGAGUGCUUGCCUUGCAUGCAUGAGACCCUGGGUUCGAGUUCUCAG
rnacentral:tRNA from 1 species